CUUCUUUAUCCAGAAUUGAGUCCGAAUUCAAUAGGGAUUUACUCCUAGGUAAACUUGACAAAAGGACAAGAUCCAUUUUUAUUACAGCCUCAUCCAAACUGGACUGUCAGUAUAAACAAACAAGACAAGAAUUACAGCGCAAAGGCAUACAGGAUGCAAUUCCAAAUGCUAAUAAAUCAUGUUUAUAGCUUAUCUCUAUGGAGAUUCACAGUCAUCCAGGUCUUGGUUGUCCCAAAGGUGUUUUUUCAAGAGCCAAUUGAACUUUCUGGUCUUUGAAGAAGUUUAGCUUCUUAUCCAAGAAGCUUCUUGGAUGAAAAGCAAAACUUCUUCAAAGAAAAAUCACAACGUCCAGUUGCCUCUU